CGGGAAGCCACCAAGCGAUUGGGCGCGGAACCCGGAACCCUGUCUCAGUUCGGAUUGGAGUCUGCAACUCGACUCCAUGAAGCUGGAUUCGCUAGUAAUCGCGCAUCAGCCAUGGCGCGGUGAAUACGUUCCCGGGCCUUGUACACACCGCCCGUCAAGCCAUGGGAGUCAGGAGUGCCUGAAGUUCGUGACCGUAUAGGAGCGACCUAGGGCAAGACUGAUGACUGGGGCUAAGUCGUAACAAGGUACC
rnacentral:rRNA from 1 species